CUGCCUACAUUCAUUUAAUUUAACGCUCCUUUCACAUUACACGAUUUACCGCGUGCGGGAAAAAAUCGCCCGAUUUUUAAUCGUGGUUUGCUACUUUUCACAUUGAACGAUUUACAAUUGUACAUUUUUAUCAGUUCACUGGAAAAUGUGGUCUGGUUAAGUUAUAACAAUAGAUCGUGAACAAGUUAUUGCGUUAUGGAUACUGUAUCGGCGUCGGAAAAGACAAAGGCGCAAUCGCCUUCACUGGAUUCACCCAAUCAAUCAGAGACGAGAGGAAGUCGGGAUGUUCCACACAUUAUUUGAAGAUCUUAGAAACGAUGACCAAAAAUGCAUUUUUGUUUCCAUCGCUAUUGUUCUCCAAACCCGGAUUGAGUGCUAAACAUACUUCUUCCCAGGCUUUCCUUGUUGCAUUUCUAUCCUUAUAAAUUUCUAAAGUUUUGUCCCAUAACACAGGAUUUUAAUGACAGACAUCGGUAAAUGACAUGUAUCACAUUCAUAUCAUCAAAAAGUUAUUUGCAUUCAACAGCAAUAAAUAUAUAAAGAGUU